rnacentral:pre_miRNA from 2 species
CUCAAUAAACGUUUGUUGAAUUGAGAUGCGCUAAAUUCAACGGGUAUUUAUUGAGCA